rnacentral:rRNA from 1 species
ACGGAAGGCAGCAGUGAGGAAUAUUGGUCAAUGGAGGCAACUCUGAACCAGCCAUCUCGCGUGAAGGAAUACGGCCCUAUGGGUCUUAAACUUCUUUUAUAGGGGGAUAAAGUGAGCCACGUGUGGCUUUUUGUAGGUACCCUAUGAAUAAGCAUCGGCUAACUCCGUGCCAGCAGCCGCGGUAAUACGGAGGAUGCGAGCGUUAUCCGGAUUUAUUGGGUUUAAAGGGUGCGCAGGCGGCACGUUAAGUCAGCGGUGAAAUGUCGGGGCUCAACCCGGGCACUGCCGUUGAAACUGGCGAGCUUGAGUACGGAUGAAGUCGGCGGAAUGUGAUGUGUAGCGGUGAAAUGCAUAGAUAUGUCACAGAACACCAAUUGCGAAGGCAGAUGACUAAACCGCAACUGACGCUCAUGCACGAAAGCGUGGGGAUCGAACAGGAUUAGAUACCCUGGUG